GUCAUGCUCUGGAGGGCUUAAUCGAAAUGGUGAGGUCACAGUCACUGGCUGGGAGCACCGUCUGAGGACGGGUCACCGGGGUCACCAUGCUAGGGUUGGGGUUCUGGCCAAAUCUUGGCAACGCAUGUUGAUUUUGAUAUUAAUGACCUUGAACAUGUCACCACGUAUGGAGAGAACGGCGGCAUUGUGUGAGGGCGAAGGUCAAGGUAGGCAGGUUCCAGUCGGGUACGUGACAGCGCGGAGGGCAGGGCCGUCCAGGGGGACGGAAUGGGGCCCAGGACCCCGACCAGGACGUAUUUAAGGGGCGGGCGGGUUCCGAGAUGCCAAGUCGUGCCGCGAGUCUCCUGUCUCCCGCUGCCUCUCCCGCUGUCUGUCUGUCUGUCUGUCUACUGUCUCUCCGCCAGCAUGCCGGGACGGGCGCUACUGCAGACCUCUCUGGUGCUCUGGCUGGUUCAGCUCACGCUGCAAGGAGGUAUCAGCAGACCACAGAGUGGAGGACUUGGCCGCUUGAUACCAGGAAGAGGUGCUGGUGUGCUGGGAAUCCCAGGAGUGCGUGGGAAUGGGGGAGGAAAGUUGGGCAAGGCUGGGGCUGCAGCUUUCAAGCCCACAGGUGCAGGAGGUCGGGGACUUGGAGGCCUUAAGCAAGGAUAUGGUGCACAACCAAGCUAUGGAGCUGCUUAUGGAGCUGGCCUGGGCCCUGGUCUGGGACUGGGUUUGGGACUAGGUAACGGCCUUGGUGGAGGACUGGGAGCUGGUCUGGGUCCUCAAGUUGGAAAGCAGCUUGGCAGAGGGUACGGUGGUAACGGUUAUGGAUCUCUGCCUGGGUACGGGGUCGGUGCAGGAGGCUACCCUGGAGCCGGUCGUGGCGCUGCAGCGGGUGGAUAUCCCACAGGACAGGGGGCUAAAGGACCCAAGCCGGGUUACGGCCCGGGCUUGGGCAGCUACCUCGGACUCGGAAACGGUUACGGAGCAGGCCUGGGGCAGGGCGGAUACCCUCUGCUGAGAAGCGGAGGCAAGCAAGCAGGCUACACUGAUGGACAGCUAGGCUUCCUAGGGACUGGCCUCGGAUACGGUGAUGGAUACGGAGCCGGGGCCCUCGGCGUGGGAGCCAAAGCUGUGCCUGCAGGAUACGGGAACGGCUAUCUGCUCGGCGGAGCCGGUUACGCUCCAGGAGCCGGCGGAUACCCGUCACUGUUAGCCGACGGGGCCGGGCUGGGAGGCAAAGCAGGGAAGGGUGCAGGAGGCGCUGCCUUGGGUGCUGCCGGCUCUCUGCCCUACGGGGGUCAGCCCGUGGUCGCCGCCGGCCUGGGUCCUGAAGCCAAGUCUGGGUACGGAACCGGCUCGCUGCCAUAUGCCGGGCACGCCGCAGGACUUCUGCCAGACGGCGGACUGGGCGCCCUCGGUGCGGGUCUGGACCCAUCUGCUGGGAAAUAUGGAGCCGGUCAGCUUCCUUACCAAGGCGCUCCAGUCAUCCCUGCAGGGCUGGACGAUGGCGGAUACCCAUACGGUGCUCAGCAUCUCAGCCUGGAGGCCGAGGCCAGUAAAGCUGCCAGCAAAUAUGGGGACGGUGGGGCAGGGCUGCGCCCCCAAGCUUCCCAAGCUUAUGGACUGGAGACUGGGGGAAAACCUAAUUGCAAAAAUGGAAGUGGCAGGGGGUACGCAGGAUCGCAGCCAGCAGCUGUAAAGGAAGUGAGCAAGUACGGCCUGAACGGCGCCUAUGGCAACGGCUACAAAGGUUGAUCCAGCAAGCUGUGGCUCCGUUUCCCUCAUGUGUCAGUCUCUUAUUGUAUGUUACAUUAUGUUGGUCGUAUGUUCUGUUUUCUUCACCAUUUUUGCCUUCUGUGUCGGUCAUUUUUGUCAACUCCCCCCAUGAUUUGUUGUCCAGAAAAAGUGCUGGUUUUAUUGGUUCGUAUCCUUGCUACAUGUGAAAUGAUGUUUUGCUUUGUUUCCAAACAUGAAACAUUAAACAAUUUUCACCGUUUUCAGUUUUUCAGUGUUCGCUUUUCCAUUUUGACUUAUGGUUGAUUUUAUUGUUUUGCAUUGUAAGUAUCGUCAUAAUGCAAGAUCAUUUCGACAACAAGUAGAGGAGACCUUCUUCCGGGAGCCAUAAAGCCACAGUCUUCCUGUCCCACACAGUCGAAAUGAAAACUAAAACAGUGGGGCAGGAUGAGGCAGAAUUAAACGGGUUAUCUGAAUCAACAUCUCACUUUUUACUGCCAUCACAUUUACGGCCUUGUCCAGAGCGCC
ensembl:lncRNA glycine-rich cell wall structural protein-like